CUUAGUAAAGCGGCGAACGGGUGAGUAAUGCGUGAAUAACCUACCCCCAAGACAGGAAUAACCCUCCGAAAGGAGAGCUAAUACCUGAUAAGACCACAUAGUCUCCGGACUAAGUGGGAAAAGGGUGGCCUCUACAUGUAAGCUAUCGCUAGGGAAUGGGUUCACGUGCUAUCAGCUAGUUGGUGAGGUAAUGGCUCACCAAGGCUAUGACGGCUAGUUGGUCUGAGAGGAUGAUCAGCCACACUGGAACUGAAACACGGUCCAGACUCCUACGGGAGGCAGCAGUGGGGAAUUUUGCGCAAUGGGGGAAACCCUGACGCAGCGACGCCGCGUGGGUGACGAAGGUCUUCGGAUUGUAAAGCCCUGUCAAGAGUGAAGAAUGCUUCUAUUGCUAAUAUCGAUAGUUGUUGACGGUAGCUCUAGAGGAAGCACCGGCUAACUCCGUGCCAGCAGCCGCGGUA
rnacentral:rRNA from 1 species